CGACCACAAUAUUUUCACCGUCUCCUAUCCCUGGAGACUUCUGGAAAUGGUAAAACCCACCAUUCCCUGAGGAAUUCCCUGCAGGCUGGACUGUGCGCUGAGCGUUUUCCACACAUCCUCACCAGGCUGGCACUGCUGCAGCCCCAGAGGAGGAAACUGAGGCAUAAAGAUGUUGUGGAGACAGCGAAUGCUGGAAGCCAAGCUUGCACAUUCUAGGCAGCCAUUUGGAAGAUUCUUCUCUGCGCAUGACCAGCUGAAAAGGAAAAACCCCGAAACAUUGGCACUGUGAUUUCUCCAUGUGAACAGUUUAGUUCGCCGAGGUGGACAUGCCUCAUUCAUGCUUAUGGAGUGACCGACCAGCCUUUAGUGACACCCCCUGAAAUGUGAGUCAUCCAUGGGUCACUAGUCAUUGGAGAAGAGCCCCUUAUACAAAACUUGGAGCUCAGACCACAAACAACAACAACAAUCCAAAAAAUAAAAAAAUGAAAAAUUAGGAGCAGAGACUAAAUGGAAAGAUGGAAAUAUUAAAAUAAAAAUAUUAUUUUAAAAAUUAAUAUGUAUUAAAAUUUU
rnacentral:lncRNA from 10 species